AAGAUUAGAAGAAAAUAUCAUGACUCCAUAAUAAGAGCUUGCUCAUUAAGAUUUGGAAGGAAUUGCACUCCAUGGGCCGUCGUGACGUGCACAGAAAUUUCUAAGGAAAUUCUAACUAGUCGCUCGCUCCGCCUCCACUCCCCACCCAAAUUCUCAAGUCUGUAGUUGAAACCAUGGGUACAUGUUGAAUGCUGUGGUACUAGAAAGGAAUCAGGUAAACAAUACAUGGGUAUAUGGAACUUUCUGGGGUUCUGCUGAGAAAGACAAGUGGACAAACCACUAGUGUCUGGAGCCAGCCUGCUGUAUCUGGCGGCAUUUUCUCCCUGGCCAUUCAACACAGCUCAUGAAAAUCAUGUCUUUUCACUGAUACUUUUUUGAUAGUUUUUAUAUAAUGAAAUCUGUAUUCUAUUUAUAACUUCAGCUAAGAAAGCACUAUAAAUGAACUCCCUAAAGUAAUAUAUUUGUGGGUUACCUUUCACUAUUUCUACGUUACAUUAAUUUUUAGCUGUAAAAUGGUUAAAUUGAUUCUUACUGUUCUCUGUCUCUCUUUUUUACUUUUUGGUUUUCAGCUUUCUGUAAGUGUCAGAGAAUGUCUUCCGUUAGGAACGAUGUAUGACCUUUCAAUGUUGAAAAAUAAGCUCCUGAAAUUUGCAUGCCCUACACACGUUUUGAUUAACUUUCCAUUUUCUUUGGUCGAAGGCUGAUGUCACCACAAAUCCCUUGCAGUCAUUGAUUCUCUCAUUCUCCUUUGUGGGAUCCCAGCAUCCCAUCAUGUUAAUCCUAUACUAUUUUCAAGGACUUGUGACUGAUGGUUAAGGGUAUUUGGAAAGCUCUUAAUUUGAGGAUGACCACGUGUAGCCAUUUAGUACUGCAAUGUAGAUUACUCAAUUUACCAAUAUAUUUCAACAAUUAAAACAUUUUUAUUCCUCUUUA